AAUAUAUAGAAAGAAUGGUCAAUUUAUCAUGGUAUAGUACAUGAAUGAUUCUAGAAGGAUCUUGAAUGUUGUCUUGUUUGAUGAGACCCAGCGAUGAAAGCCUGGUGGAUAUAGUUGUGGAACUUAGGUAUGGAAUCUAGAAUGUUGUGUAAGCUUGUAGAGAAGUACAUGUUGGUUAGGAUUUGAUUAGACUUGUUAGGCAUAUGGACUUAGUUUGAAUGAUCAUGGCAAUAGGUUAGAGAAUGUUGGGAGUU
rnacentral:sRNA from 1 species